rnacentral:rRNA from 1 species
UACGAAGGGGGCUAGCGUUGCUCGGAAUCACUGGGCGUAAAGCGCACGUAGGCGGCUUCUUAAGUCAGGGGUGAAAUCCUGGAGCUCAACUCCAGAACUGCCUUUGAUACUGGAAAGCUUGAGUUCGGGAGAGGUGAGUGGAACUGCGAGUGUAGAGGUGAAAUUCGUAGAUAUUCGCAAGAACACCAGUGGCGAAGGCGGCUCACUGGCCCGAUACUGACGCUGAGGUGCGAAAGCGUGGGGAGCAAACAGG